AGCAGCCGCGGUAAUUCCAGCUCCAAUAGCGUAUAUUAAAGUUGUUGCAGUUAAAAGCUCGUAGUUGAAUUUCGGGGUCAGUAGGUUGGUCGUGCCACCGGUACGUACUGGUCUCACUGAUUCCUCCUUCCUGAAGAACCGUAAUGCCAUUAAUUUGGUGUUGCGGGGAAACAGGACUGUUACUUUGAAAAAUUAGAGUGUUUAAAGCAGGCUAACGCUUGAAUACAUUAGCAUGGAAUAAUGAAAUAGGACGAUCGAUCCUAUUUUGUUGGUUUCUAGGAUUGACGUAAUGAUUAAUAGGGAUAGUUGGGGGCAUUAGUAUUCAAUUGUCAGAGGUGAAAUUCUUGGAUUUAUUGAAGACUAACUACUGCGAAAGCAUUUGCCAAGGAUGUUUUCAUUAAUCAAGAACGAAAGUUAGGGAUCGAAGACGAUCAGAUACCGUCGUAGUCUUAACCA
rnacentral:misc_RNA from 1 species